rnacentral:lncRNA from 1 species
GUCCACUGUCCUGAGAGGCAGGUGACUUUUAUGGUCCUGUGCUCCGCUGACCUUUUAGGGGGCAAGUUUUCUUCAACAGGUGGGAAGAAGGCAGGGGGUCUCUCUAUAGGAAGGAGGGGGAGACACAAUCUCACUAAGCACAUAACAGCUGCUAAGGCCGCUGGGAGCUAGCCAUCCUGGCACUGCAGAGGCUAGCCAUCCUGGCACUGCAGAGGCUAGCCAUCCUGGCACUGCAGAGGCUAGCCAUCUUACUACUGCGGAAGCAGUAAUGAGGACUAACCAGCAAAUGCAAGCAAGGCUAUUUAUCUUUUGCUGGCUGGGGUCAGCCAUCAUCGCCUGUGUUCAGUAGUGACUCAGAGGCAGGAGAAAGCUUUUCCAUGAAGAUUCAGACAUCCCCUGACCAGGGACCACUGGAGGCCAGCUACAAGGAGCACCCAUGGGAUUGGGUAUGCACUGGCUCUCCAAACUGGAAUUAAUUGACAAAAGUUAGGAAAGGCUGCUCAUUGUAGAUAAGAGAUUGCUGAGGGUUGUGAGUCCGGAUCUGUUUUGAAGUGAGAAGCAUAGGGAAGAGACUCACCUCAAAUCACCACUCAUAAGGGGCCCAGUAGGAGCUGCACCCAUGCAACCGCCUCCAGCAAACAGUACCUCUAACAACUGGUGCACUUAUGCCAGUGGCCCAGUGAGUUCCCAGCGCUGAGGCCACUGCCCCCAGCAUUGCUGUGUCCUCUCUGACGAUGCUCCGGAUGUCCCCCUAUACCCACAGGGUUUUUCUAUGGAGCCCAUGCCAACCACAAACUUGACAUUCGCCUGCCUCAGCCUUCUACGUGCUCAGCUUAUAGUUGAGAUCUGACCCACGGCCGGAUUCCAAUCCUGAACCUUGUGCUUAUGUCACCAACGAGAUGGGACAUGCUGCCACAACAGGAGCUGAGAGCUUGGGGAGGGUGCUGUCCAAAUUCUGUUGUAUCACAGCAGGGAGGGAAGGGCCUGAGGCACGAGACCGAGAGGGAGUCAGGAGAUUGCCUUUCUAUUCUUAGUUCUGCAAUGAGCUUGCUGUGUGCCCUUGGGCAGAUCAGUUCCUCUCUCUAACCCUCAGUUUCCUCAUUUGCUACAACCAAAUGCAGAAUCUUCAAGGCUUUCCCUUUCAGUUCUAACGAGCCCACAGUUCUAGCUGGGAUGCGGGAUGUGUGUGAAGAAAUCUGAGUCUUGGUUUCAUUUCGUAACUUGGGCCCCUCAGCACUUCCCAGCUGGGGCUGGGAACAGGACCAACAUUCAUUGACAAAUGAAGAGAUGAAAACAUUUUCCAAGCUGACAAGCCAUCAACUGGGUGCCACCCGGGAAGAGAAGCCUUGGUCCAGAGCUCUGUAUUCUGCCCUCACAGGCAGGAGAACAUGGAACUGCCAUCCAUACCCAAUGGGCCAUCCUGGGUUUGGGAGGUCUCUUUUACCCUGAGAUCCAGCAGGUUCAAGCGAAGUUAUGAGAGCAGACUCAAGGAUCAUGUCUACCAACCAGUUUGUCUUAGUGUUCAUGGACCAGAGACUGCUUUGCCUGUUGGGGUUGGCUGAAGCCUGUUAUACAGUUACAUAAGCUAAUUUAUCUGGGGGACAAAGCCGUCGUGUACACAGAAGGGCCUUCUUAAAUGGCAGCUAGGGCCACUCUAAUUUUCUUCCAUGGGCUGGUCUGUAUGUGACAAGACCCCACUGGAAACUGACAGUUGGCUGAGGGUGUCUGUUGGCUGUUUUGGUGCAACAUUGCAGGCCCCCUAUGACUCGGGGAGCAAGCCUCCCGGCAUCCACUAAACACCCAGUUCUUAGAGGCUCCACAGAGUGAGGGAGCAGCCUGAGGGGAGAUGUGCUUCAAAUCCCCAACUGGAUGCCAACCUUACCUCAGUUGUCAGCAGGGAGGGGGAGAUCCAGAGGGUACAUGGAGGGCAAGACAGAGAAACAAGAGCAUACACUUAUUACUUUUGCC